rnacentral:rRNA from 1 species
UACCAGCUCUCCGAGUGGUGGGGACAAUUAUUGGGCUUAAAGCGUCCGUAGCCGGCCCAUCAAGUCUCUUGUUAAAUCCAGCGAUCCAAUCGCUGGACUGCGGGAGAUACUGCUGGGCUAGGGGGCGGGAGAAGCCGAUGGUAUUCUCGGGGUAGGGGUGAAAUCCUAUAAUCCCGGGAGGACCACCAGUGGCGUAGGCGGUCGGCUAGAACGCGCCCGACGGUGAGGGACGAAAGCUGGGGGAG